ACGACCUUGCUUGGACAGGAUCUAUCCUAUAGGGUCGUAUGCUGCGUCCUUCACCAAUAUAAGGAGGCAAGCCCUAAUGUCUUGUAAUGACCACACAACCUCUGGGCUAGAGCCUGAUUAACGGCCAGGAUGCUCCGGUUGGGAGCCAUCCUACGGCUGUAGAGGAUGUUCCUGCCAUGUUUGGGCCUGGCCAGGGUUACCCAGAGGUUAUUCGAUAGUCU